rnacentral:sRNA from 1 species
AAUCUUAUUAGAAUCAAUCAAUAUAUUCUAUAUACUUCACAUAACUUUCGUGAAGAAUGUGAUUAUCGAAGUCAUUGUUGUUCAUGUGUGUAUUGCGAUUCACCAUGCAUUACUAAAAUCAUGGAUCCCACUUAUUUUGUUUGCGGGUAGUGCCCUUAGCACCGUUGUUUUGACUUUCAUAGAUUGUGUCUUCAAGAAAAUAUAAACUGGAAAUACGCAUUAUUAUUAAAAAAUUUAUUACAAUUUCCUUACAUAAUUGAUUCUAAGAAGAUUAUGAAAUCAUUAA